CCACAGACAUGCUAAUGUGCUUAGAGGACUGAUGUUCAGAUUUUGCAGAAGUUGGGGGCCAGAAGUAACUAACAGAUGGGGAGGUUGCAGCCAUGUGUGAAUGAGCUUGACAGAGAUGCAUCUGAAACGAGGAAUGCUGGAACUGGAAGGAUCUUUUGAAUAUGCAGAAACUAAAAAGGGAGAAACCAAACAGAAAGAAAAAAAAGCAUGGCUAGCUUCACGUAGAGAUGGAUUUUCCGUUCCACAGAAACUAAUUUGCCUCCAAUGCAAAUUCUCUGUUGAAAGGAUGUGCCUACACUGCAGCUGAAAAUGCUUCUGACAUAGGUUAUGUGGGUACUAAAGCAGUAUGGGCAGCCAAAUAACAGUAACAGCAAAACUGAAAUCACAGAGAUCUACUAUUAGAAAUGCAAUCGAGGGUUCCCUGUCCAAUUCUGAAACACCCGGUUUCCCGGCGUUUAGGUUUGCAUUGCACUAAAUGUGUUAGCGACAGUUUCCACUUUUAUUUUUGAAGGUAUGCAGUACAUGGUGCUUUUGGUCUUACUGUUACAAUGCAGUCCUUGUGCACUUCUGUCCUUGUGACAGAAACUGGAUCCCCUCUGCAGUAUCAAAGCUUCUGCUUAAGUACACGGCACGUGCAGUGACAGUGCAGAGGUUUUAGGGCAUUCAGUAUAUUUUCACUGUGAACUGCUAAGGGAAUAAGGAUUUGCCUACACACACGAAUAUUCCAGAACAACAACAACAAAUUAUGUAUGGAGACUUUUCUGGUAUUGCCCCAUGAUUUGGAGUCUGGCAGUAUAAAUAACUGUGAAUAGCCUUCUCAAUCAUUAGCUUCUGAGACAGCCCAGGAACUACUAGCAAUUGUCAUUGCUGUGUGUGACUUGUGGUAAUACCGUCACCCGAAAUCUACAUUAAAAUUAACAUUUCAUCGGGGAAGGAACACGACUUCUGACAGCUCUUGUGAAUUAACUCUGAG
ensembl:lncRNA